rnacentral:lncRNA from 1 species
GUCGCGCUGUUUCCCGGCCAAUGCACCAAAUGAAAGAUUCUCGAAUUCCCGGCCAACGCACCAAAUGAAAGACCCCCGAGGGGAGACCCUCUCUCAGACACUUAAGUCCCGGGACAGCCGCGUACCCAAGAAGACACUGAGACCAUACAUAAAAUGUAGAAGAUUCCCAGGGCCUUUGCUGAGAGUGCUGUGAAUACCGAUGGCGGCAAAGAGACAUGUUCUGUUCAGAAGCCUUCCUCCAGCAGAGGCAUCAAGGUGUCGCCAGACAACUGGGUCAGGCCCAAGUCCCAGAACAUCCUCUGAGCCUCCACUCCUACCUCCUCCGAGCCACUGUUACCACCUGCUGCAUCCAGGAACUUGUAACCAUCGAAGAUCAGCAGUCUGGCCAGGGAACCAACAACAGAUCAAAGUAAAGAGAGUGCUGAAGUCCAACUUGGGGAACCAGUGAUUCAAAAGUCAGCUACAUCACAGAAAGCGACGCCAGCAUGGAUGACAGCUCAUGAAAGCUUAAAACUCAGAGCUAAUGUCACUAUGUCCCUUUCAGUUUCAGGGACUUCCUGAGUCUCAUCAAGCUUCUAUGCUGGAUGGAGUAUUUUAACUGGAGCAGAUUGCUGUAGGAGACCUGAAGAGGAAUGGAAUUCUUCCUGAGAAGAUAGAGAAUGAGAAAAGCCUGUGGCCCAUAGAUUUCAUGUGAGCACAGGUCCCAGGUCCUUGUCCCUUCUACUCCCCAGAGUUAUCAUCAUACUUCGUGCUCUCA